AUUGAACGCUGGCGGCAGGCCUAACACAUGCAAGUCGAGCGAGCGGCGGACGGGUGAGUAAUGUAUGGGGACCGCCCGACAGAGGGGGAUAACUACUGGAAACGGUAGCUAAUACAGCAUACUAUCGGAUAAUCCAAAUGGGAUUAGCUAGUAGGGGAGGUAAUGGCUCACCUAGGCGACGAUCCCUAGCUGGGCUGAGAGGAUGAUCAGCCGCACUGGGACGGUGACACGGCCCAGACUCCUACGGAGGCAGCAGUAGGGAAUAUUGCAGUAGGAGCGCAAGCCUGAUGCAGCCAUGCCGCGUGUAUGAAUAAGGCCCUCGGGUUGUAAAGUGAUUUCAGUCGGGAGGCGUUACCGACAGAAGAAACACCGGCUAACUCCGUGCCAGCAGCCGCGGUAAUUC
rnacentral:rRNA from 1 species